GCCCCCUGGCGUCAGGCGGGACUCUUCGCAGGUGACGGGGCGCGUGCCCCAGGUGCCUCCGCGGACGGUUGCCCUGGAAACGAGCGCUAGCCUAGCCAGAAGGUGUUUCCCUGGGCUCUAUAGGCAGCCUCGAGUUAACUUCGUGUUGGACUGUCCAGGAGUCGGAAAAUGAACCUUCGAUACGUCCACCCCACAUUAGAUUCUCCAGGUAGAAAAAGUGAAAAAUACAGAAUCGAGGUCCCAAAAUCGGAUCAAAAAGAGGCGAUCACCGUACAUAAAUAAUCUACAGUAAGAGAGAAGAGAAGGAGAGGUGAGACACCAUGAGAGGACUUCAAAGCUUUCCCACAGUCCCAGGCUCCGAUAUAUUCCUGAAGCUUCCUUCAUUCCUACCCAUGAUAAUUUGAAUUACUUUGCUAACAAUUCAUCAUGAUUCUAAAGGUGGAAAUGCCAGGCGCCAGAAUGGGCUGACAGAAAAGAAGCCUGGGACAGAUGCUGAAGCAGAUGUUAUUGUCACCUUUGCAGAUAAGAAGUCCGGAGUCCAGA